UGAGGAAUAUUGGUCAAUGGACGCAAGUCUGAACCAGCCAUGCCGCGUGCAGGAAGACGGCUCUAUGAGUUGUAAACUGCUUUUGUACUAGGGUAAACGCUUCUACGUGUAGGAGCCUGAAAGUAUAGUACGAAUAAGGAUCGGCUAACUCCGUGCCAGCAGCCGCGGUAAUACGGAGGAUCCAAGCGUUAUCCGGAUUUAUUGGGUUUAAAGGGUGCGUAGGCGGUUUGAUAAGUUAGAGGUGAAAUACCGGGGCUCAACUCCGGAACUGCCUCUAAUACUGUUGAACUAGAGAGUAGUUGCGGUAGGCGGAAUGUAUGGUGUAGCGGUGAAAUGCUUAGAGAUCAUACAGAACACCGAUUGCGAAGGCAGCUUACCAAACUAUAUCUGACGUUGAGGCACGAAAGCGUGGGGAGCAAACA
rnacentral:rRNA from 1 species